rnacentral:rRNA from 1 species
GACGAACGCUGGCGGUGUGCUUAAUACAUGCAAGUCGAACGAUAAGGCCCUUUCGGGGUACGAUAAGUGGCGGACGGGUGAGUAAUGCGUAGGUAAUCUGCCUCGAGGCGGGGGAUAACGUUGGGAAACUGACGCUAAUACCCCAUAUGUGAUAUCUUGAAAUAGAUAUUAUGAAAGUUCCGGCGCCUUGAGAUGAGUCUGCGUCUGAUUAGCUAGUUGGUGGGGUAAGAGCCUACCAAGGCGACGAUCAGUAGCUGGUCUGAGAGGAUGAUCAGCCACAAUGGGACUGAGACACGGCCCAUACUCCUACGGGUGGCAG